rnacentral:piRNA from 1 species
AUUUAAUACAUUUGUACCUCACUCUAAG